GGCACUGUAGCUCAGUUGGUAGAGCACAUGCUUGACAGGCAUGUUGUCGUCGGUUCGAGCCCGGCCAGAGUCA
rnacentral:tRNA from 1 species